UCCUCAUUCCACACGCUCUCUCGCAGGUCAGAGAUCCGAGAGAGUGCGCGAGAUGAGGAGA
rnacentral:pre_miRNA from 1 species